rnacentral:rRNA from 1 species
UACAGAGACUGCGAGCGUUAUUCGGAUUCACUGGGCGUAAAGGGUGCGCAGGCGGCCAGGUGUGUUAGGCGUGAAAGCCCGGGGCUUAACCCCGGAAUUGCACCUAAAACUACUUGGCUAGAGCAUUGGAGAGGGUAGCGGAAUUCACGGUGUAGCAGUGAAAUGCGUAGAUAUCGUGAGGAACACCAGAGGCGAAGGCGGCUACCUGGACAAUUGCUGACGCUCAGGCACGAAAGCGUGGGGAGCAAAAGGG